CAAAUAUCACUCCUAACCUCACCCUCAAGCUAUCCACAAGGAUAUCCAACAAGAUUAUCAUCUAUGGCACGAAAUCACGAAGCAAUAACACUAGAACGAUCCCCACGACAUUGAGUUGAGUUGGUUGAAGAGUUGCUUGGGAGGUAUUAUGGACUCAACGUGGAGUUGCUUGGGAGGUAUUAUGGACUCAACGUGGUUAAGGUCCCGAUAGACAGGUUUACAUUCCUCCUAGUAGGCUAUCAGCUCAG